AGGGCACCACCAGGAGUGGAGCCUGCGGCUUAAUUUGACUCAACGCGGGAAAACUCACCCGGCCCGGACACCGUAAGGAUUGACAGAUUGAGAGCUCUUUCUUGAUUCGGUGGUUGGUGGUGCAUGACCGUUCUUAGUUGGUGGAGCGAUUUGUCUGGUUUAUUCCGAUAACGAACGAGACUCUGGCCUACUAAAUAGAGACGGAAUUAUUACUGUUCCGGAUUCUUCUUAGAGGGACAAGUGGUUUUCAGCCACACGAAAUUGAGCAAUAACAGGUCUGUGAUGCCCUUAGAUGUCCGGGGCUGCACGCGCGCUACACUGAAGGAAUCAGCGUGCUAAAACCAUUGUCGAAAGGCAUUGGUAAACCCAUCAAAAUCCUACGUGAUUGGGAUCGGGAAUUGCAAUUAUUUCCCUUGAACGAGGAAUUCCCAGUAAGUGCGGGUCAUAAGCUCGCGUUGAUUACGUCCCUGCCCUUUGUACACACCGCCCGUCGCUGCCCGGGACUGAGCCGUUUCGAGA
rnacentral:rRNA from 1 species